GUGGGGAAUUUUGGACAAUGGGGGCAACCCUGAUCCAGCCAUGCCGCGUGCGGGAAGAAGGCCUUCGGGUUGUAAACCGCUUUUGUCAGGGAAGAAAUCCUCUGAGUUAAUACCUCGGGGGGAUGACGGUACCUGAAGAAUAAGCACCGGCUAACUACGUGCCAGCAGCCGCGGUAAUACGUAGGGUGCAAGCGUUAAUCGGAAUUACUGGGCGUAAAGCGUGCGCAGGCGGUUGUGCAAGACAGGUGUGAAAUCCCCGGGCUUAACCUGGGAACUGCACUUGUGACUGCACAGCUGGAGUGCGGCAGAGGGGGAUGGAAUUCCGCGUGUAGCAGUGAAAUGCGUAGAUAUGCGGAGGAACACCGAUGGCGAAGGCAAUCCCCUGGGCCUGCACUGACGCUCAUGCACGAAAGCGUGGGGAGCAAACAGG
rnacentral:rRNA from 1 species